rnacentral:tRNA from 1 species
AUUGUAAUGGCAGAUUAGUGCAAAGAAUUUAAGCUUCUUAGAUGAACCGCUCGUUCUUAUAAUA